GCGGACACCAAUUGUCGCAAUAGUAGUGCUAUGGAUCCAUCAGCUACUUUUCUAUUAAUAUCGCUAUAUAUAGAUGCCCAAGUGUAUCUUUGGUUAUCAACAACACAAGCUCUCAACUAAUCAGCUAUCAGGGAUGAAGCCUGCAAACGAUGGCACUGCUCAUUUUGAUGAACAUGAUGUGCACUAUUGGAUACUUUGAUCAUGCAAGUUUUCUUGGAACUAAGGCCCAAGAAACCACCAUGCUGGCAAAUUCAUACGGAAGCAAUGAAGAAACCGGUUCUACGAGGGGCAUAAAUCUUGGAAGGAAGCUGGCAGUGACAAACCACCAAUGGUCUCCUAGAGAUGUCUGCUGCAACACAAUGUCCUCCAAUUCUUGCAAACAGCAAUAUAAUUGUUAGAGAUAUAUGCUUGCAUUCCUAUGCAUAUGGAGGACACGGUAUGUGUUGCGUCAGCAGUUUCUCAAGUCCCUUGUAUCAUCUAGGUGACCUAUCUAAAUAAUCUUUGGGGCCGUGAAAUGCUGUGUAGUAUUGUACUGAGCGUACGCUCAAUAUUAAACAAUAAAUUAAAAUAAGUCCUGUGUGUGAUAAUAAUUCACUCAGAUAAA